GUCCGCAAUGCACCUCCAAGCGGCACCGUUGAAUCCGACUAUGACAAAAUUGCACAAGAGAGGUACAAAGACAUGGAAGCUUCCGGUAAGAAGGCAUUUCAACUAGAGCAUUGUUGGGAACUUCUCAAGGAAAGCGAGAAGUGAAAGUUGAUUCACAAAGAAUCCCCACCAAAGAGACGUGCACUCACCAAGAUUGAUGAUGAUGAAGAUGACGAUGGCCCAAGAAACAAAAACAAGCCCGAUGAAAACAAAAAGGCCAAGGACAAGAUCAAGAAGGAAGCGAAGGCUUCAAGCUUGCAGGACAAGCUAGAUCACAUGGUCAAGUCCAAUGAGCUAUUGACAUUGGAGGCAAAAAAGGAGUUGGCUGAGAAGAAGGCUCAAGAGAAGCAAGAGAAGUGGUAACUACUCAAGGAGGAGACCAUGCGCAAGGCCACCAUUGAGGAGAGAAGAGCCAUAGCAGACGAGAACAAAGCCAUGGCCAAGCUUCUUGCCGAGGAGAACAAGAUUAUGAUGAUGAAUUGAAAUGAGAUGGAUGAGGUCACCAAAGAAUGGCAUGAUAUUGCAAGGUUGGAGAUCUUGGAGAGGAGGAGGAUGGCCGCAAGAGAUGAUGCAGUGCCAAUGUUCGGUGGUGGUUCAGCAAGUGGUGGUGCCAAUGGUGGCGCUGAAGAUUUCAUCUUGUGA
rnacentral:rRNA from 1 species